CAGGCCUAACACAUGCAAGUCGAGCGGACCAUUCCUUCGGGGAUGGUUAGCGGCGGACGGGUGAGUAACACGUAGGCAACCUGCCUGUAAGAUCGGGAUAACUACCGGAAACGGUAGCUAAGACCGGAUAGCUGGUUUCUCCGCAUGGGGGAAUCAUGAAACACGGGGCAACCUGUGGCUUACGGAUGGGCCUGCGGCGCAUUAGCUAGUUGGUGGGGUAAUGGCCCACCAAGGCGACGAUGCGUAGCCGACCUGAGAGGGUGAUCGGCCACACUGGGACUGAGACACGGCCCAGACUCCUACGGGAGGCAGCAGUAGGGAAUCUUCCGCAAUGGGCGCAAGCCUGACGGAGCAACGCCGCGUGAGUGAUGAAGGUUUUCGGAUCGUAAAGCUCUGUUGCCAAGGAAGAACGCCUCGGAGAGUAACUGCUCUGAGGGUGACGGUACUUGAGAAGAAAGCCCCGGCUAACUACGUGCCAGCAGCCGCGGUAAUACGUAGGGGGCAAGCGUUGUCCGGAAUUAUUGGGCGUAAAGCGCGCGCAGGCGGUCUUUUAAGUUUGGUGUUUAAGCCCGGGGCUCAACCCCGGUUCGCACUGAAAACUGGGAGACUUGAGUGCAGGAGAGGAAAGCGGAAUUCCACGUGUAGCGGUGAGAUGCGUAGAGAUGUGGAGGAACACCAGUGGCGAAGGCGGCUUUCUGGACUGUAACUGACGCUGAGGCGCGAAAGCGUGGGGAGCAAACAGGAUUAGAU
rnacentral:rRNA from 1 species